UUGGGUUUGGGAGCAGAAGUUCAUGGAAAACAAGGGAAGUGAUUUUUAAUUAUACCUUCUGUAAGUACCUGAUAUUGUGCUUAAAACAUAGAAAAUUAAUCAAACAAUUCAACUAAAUGGUAAAUUACCUUAGUGCUUGUGGAAAUGGAAUUUCAUAGAAAAUGCUAAGUAAAAUACAGGAAUUGCUUAUGAGAGUUUUCUUUGCCUGAAGUUGUAACUUGCUUGAAUUUUCUUUGUCUUUUCAUAUACCCUUAGGAUUUAGGAGGAAAAAAAGAAGAUGCAACAAAAUUUUAGAGUAGAAAGUGAUUUAGAAUAAAUAUCACUCUAGCUUAAAUAUUUUGUUCUAUAGUUUUGAUGGUUUAUCUCCAAUCUAAAAAUACUGCAAGGGCAUAUGAAAAAGUUAUCAUAUGUGUAUGCUAAUAUUUUAUAUAUAUAUUCAACUAUUAA
ensembl:lncRNA novel transcript, antisense to PCDHA10